GUAAAUUUAGGGUUUUCACUAUUAAUUCACAAAUUCAUCAUGGUUUCAAGGUUUUGAUCCAUACCAUCUGAAAAGAGUUGAAAGGAGAAGAAAUUGACUACAUAAGGUAAUGGACACUAAGUACGUAAAUUUGAGGUUUCACAUCGGUGGUAUACUUGUGAGUGAGGUAGGACCUGUUUAUAUUGGGGGGGAAAAAAGAAUAUGCCUUCAAUGUUGAUAUAGACCAUUUGUCUAUUCCAGAAGUGAAUGACUAUUGCAGGGAUUUUGGGGUUACCAAUAUAGAAAAAAUAUAUAUUGGAGCUGCUCAAGUUGGCAAUUUGGUAGAAUUGGUUAAAGAUAGGGAUUUAUUGGUCUUAGCCAAUUUGUUGGUUGUUGGGGGUACUAUGGACAUUUAUAUCUGCCAUAAAGGGGAAGUUUUUAUCAAAACAACACAUGUGACCAAUGAGUCUUUUGAGACCACAUGCAAUGAAGUGGAUAGACCUAAUAAAGAAUCUACCAACAAAGCUGGUGAAGGUCUCA